rnacentral:rRNA from 1 species
UACGGGGGGGGCAAGCGUUGUUCGGAAUUACUGGGCGUAAAGGGCUCGUAGGUGGCCAACUAAGUCGGACGUGAAAUCCCUCAGCUUAACUGGGGAACUGCGUCCGAAACUGAGUGGCUAGAGUAUGGUAGAGGGUCGCGGAAUUCCCGGUGUAGAGGUGAAAUUCGUAGAUAUCGGGAGGAACACCGGUGGCGAAGGCGGCGACCUGGGCCAAUACUGACGCUGAGGUGCGAAAGCGUGGGGAGCAAACAGG